rnacentral:rRNA from 1 species
AUGCAGAGCGGCCAGCAGCAAGCGAGGAGGAAGAACGCGCAGGUGCUGGACGGGUCGGACAUCCGCGAGCUGGUGGAGAACGAGGGGGCGUUCGCCAAGUUCGUGGAGAACAAGUUCCGGCACCUUGACGCCGACGGCGACGGGAGGCUGUCGCUGAGGGAGCUCCAGCCCGCCGUCGCGGACAUCGGCGCCGCCAUCGGGCUGCCGGCCAGGGGGUCGUCGGCGCAGGCGGACCACAUCUACUCCGAGGUUCUAAAUGAGUUCACCCAUGGGAAGCAAGAUUCGGUGAGCAAGCCGGAGUUCCAGCACGUGCUGUCCGACAUACUCCUCGGCAUGGCGGCCGGGCUCAAGAGGGACCCGAUCAUGAUCCUCAGGAUGGACGGGGAAGACCUGAACGAGUUUGUCGAGAGCACGGCGUACGAAGCAGAGGCGGUCGCCAUAUUCUCUCAAAUCGAGUCCGGAAGUGCGUUGUUGCGACAAUGUUUGCCCGCCGCUCUUCGACAGCUGACGGUCGAUCACGGCAUGCCACCGGCUUCGGAUUCUCUGGUUAUGGAGAAGGUCAUAGAACCUGCAUUGCAGGAACUGCCGGCAGAUCAGCUCGAUCGCCCGGCGUCGCAAGAGGUCUUCUUCCAGGAAUUCAAGAAGUACUUGGCAGUGAUCGCCCAGCGACUCCAGGAGUGCCCGGUAAUUGUGGCGCACACUGAAAACACCUUUGAUGGGGCUGGCAUUAGGAAGAUACUGUCUAAGAAGUUCGAGUUCGACAAGCUGCUGGAUUCCGUCUGGGUAGAUGUACCAAAGGAACACAAAGAUGGGACAUCGAAGAAGUACCUUCGCGUCGCGCUUGACAAGUUGGCCGCCUCAGUAAAUCUACCACCAUAUGGAGCUGUUGACCAGGUGGAUGCUGUGGUGAACGAGGCGUUCAAGAUGGCGAACGCCGACGACGGGAAGGCGGUGGACGAGGCGGAGUUCAAGAAGCUGCUCACCGAGAUCCUCGGGGCGGUGAUGCUGCAGCUAGACGGUAACGCCAUCGCGGUCUCCACCAACACCGUCCUCCACGAGCCCAUGUCCACCUCGUCGACCUUGUUGUCGCCGUCGCCGUCGCCGCCCACGGUGUCGUCGCCGAGCGAGUAG